rnacentral:tRNA from 1 species
UCCCUCGUGGUGUAGUGGUCAGCACGCUCGGCGCGUAUUCGAGAGGUCCACGGUUCGAAUCUGGGUGAGGGCA